UGAUGGUUCAGUGGUGAAAGUUGAGAAUACAGGUGGUGACACUAACUGGGUUUCAUAGGCAUAAGGGCCAAUAGCAAAAAUGGAGGCAGGCCCACUGGGAGAAUAAAUAUUGGCGGAUACAGAGGUGAGUGACAGUACACCGACUGGUGACUGUGAAGCAGAAGGAAAUUCCGAUUGAAGGAAAGAUGCAGGAGAUGAGGGAGGGGCAACAAAGGGAAUCGUUAUGGAAGGUUCUUGGGUUGGAUUUUCGGCCACAGAAGUAUCAUUUCCAGGGACAGACGUUUCAGGAACAAGGGCUGCAUGCCCAAUUCUCUUUCUGUGUCCAUGAUAUCCAAAACACCAGUAUACAUUCCAACAGCUUCCCCAUCUUCUCUUCUGCAUAUGAAAAAUAACAUGAAAAAAUUUAUUGCAAUAAAAUCACAUUUCAAGCACUUCUAUGCCUGCUAAUUUGGUAAUUGAGCCUUCAAAGAAUUUUCGUUGACAUAAAAGAAAAACACAAUUAAAGAUCUUAGUCCUUGGCUGCUCAAGUGAAGUCUAUCAGGCACUACAAGAAAAAUAUUCCAAAAGAGCCUGAUAAAUGAAAAAUGACAAUUAAAUUAGAAGCAUAUCUCAAAGAUCAGUGCAAUUAAAGAUAAUUGUAGGAACUCCUCCCUAUCACAACAUAGCAUACAGUACCGUCUAAGAUAAAGCAAAUCUUCCCAGAUUAUUUAUGUAGUUACUGAAUAUAUAGAGAUAUCUUGAUAAUCAUCUUCAAAUUAAAUUACAAGCACAAUUGCUACAGUAAACAGUAUCUCUCUCCUUGCUUUUUCUUUCUUCUCUUCUCUAUCAAAAUCUCCCAUCAUUAUGUUAGGAAAAAAAUUCUUUCAUCAUUAGAUCUGUUAUUCCCGCAUCAUAUUUCAGUAUCCUCAAGGGCAGAUUUCAUGAGAUUUUAAAUGGAUCAUAGAUGACAUCACGUUCUCACUCCACAAUGAAUCUUUUUACACUUUUCCCAUCUUCUCUAGGCCAUUUGCAUGCUAAAAUAACCUUAUUUAUUAGCAGACAGCUAGACACCAAAAUUAAUACUAGACUCGCAAUACUACUCUAGCAGCAAGAAGGGAAAAUACAUUCACUUUUCUGCAAGCUAAAAUAUCAACAACAAUAAGAAACAAUAAAACGAAGAAAAGAUAUUUCCUGUGAUAAAUUUAACAGAUCAUCACCAGUUUAUUCAACUAUAUACUGUACAGAAGCUUUUGCUUUACCUUCAAAAGCUAAACACCUCAUGCUAAAGCCUAAAGCAACAUGCUUUCUUCUAUCAGAAGUCAACCUUUGAACAUUAAAGAAGGUUUAAUCAUCAUUAUAUUAUUCCUGAAGCACUUCACUACUUUGAAAGCAAAAUCUACAUCAACUUUUGCUUCCGAAAUAAAUAAAUAAACAAAAAGCGCUUAGCUGAAACCAACACCAGAUUAUACCACAAUCAAUCAACAAAACCAAUCACCUAUAGAUCCCCAAACUCCAAAAUUUAAAACCACCACUGAAUUUAUUGCAUUAAUUUUACCAAAAAUAUUAAUGAACGAAACUAGAAUAACCAAAUCAAAGGCAUAAAUCAAUAACAAUAAUAACAAUAAAACUGAAGUACCUGAACCAUGUCUUGAGGAGCACGAUUCUCCGCGGAAGCGAUCGCGGAGGCCGCAGCGUUUAUGGUGUCGAAAGCGUUGCUGGAAGGUCUUGAAUCUCCAUUAACGGCUCUCAUCUGAAUAAUAUUUCCAGGAAAACGGGGAAUUUUCUCGAGAAAAUGAAAUGAAAAUGGAAAUCCGAGGUUUUGUUUUAGCGAAUUUUAUUUUAUAUAUAUAAAAAAUUGUAUACACUGUUUCAUAAGUGGAAGUAAAGCACAGACUUAAUUCUCUACGUAAAUAUCAACGACCGCACUUACCACUUUACCCUUAUCGUACUUGCUAUUUAAACUAUUUAAUUUAUUUCUAAUAAUAAUAAUAAUAAUAAUUUAUAAGAGUGACAGUUCACUUUUAAUUUGAGGUGAUGAUACGAAUUUGAUUUAAAAUUAAAUUGAAUAAAUUAAAAAUUAAAAUUUUAGUAUUUAUAAAAAUUAAAUUGAAUCGAUUUUAAUUAGAAAUUAAAUUAAAUUAAAUCGAUCUAAUUCAGUUUGGUUCAAUUUGAUUUGAUUAAUUUUAAUUUUUAAUAAAUUUUUUAUUUUUAUAUUUUAUUUUUAAUAUUUUAAAAUUUAAUUAAAAUAUUUUAAUUUUAAUAUAAUUUAAUUUCUUUAUGAAAAAAUAUAUUAUUAUCACUAAUCGAUUCGAUUUAAUUUUUUUAAUUUUUUUCUGAUCAAAAUUGAAAUAAAUUGAAAUAACCGAAAUUUUUAAAAUUAAAAAUCAAAUAAAAUUGAAAUAAAUAAAAAAUCAAAUCAAAUUUUUAAAUUAAUUCAGUUUUAUCGAUUUUUUUUAUUUAAAUCAAAUUUUUAUUUUUAAUAAAAAAUUAGAUGAAAUGAUUAUUUUAUUAAUGAAAAAAUAUAAUAAUAUUUUAAUAAAUUUAAAAAUAUAAAAUUUAUUUAUUAAUAAUAAUAAUAAUAAUAUCUAAAAAUUAAAUAAUAAAUUUUCUUUAUAAAAAAAUUAUCCUAAUAACUAAUGAAGUGAGAUGUGAGGGUAGUUUUGUCCAAUAAAAGUUUAAAAAAUUGAAUUGUUUUUAUUAUUUAUUAUUAAUUAGAAAUGAGUGCACGUGUGUGUGGAAGCAUCCACUUCUUGAAAGCUUUCGUGUGCACAUCGCCUACUGCACCCGGUCAGCGGACCCCACUCCCCCAACCUCCUUUAUUCUUCCUGGGAAAGUUUUGCUUAAACUGGUCUAAGUAGUGUGUACAUAAAAUAUCAUAUAUUUAUAUUAUAAAUUUAAUUUAAAUAAAAAUAAAUUUUUCUAUUUUUCCAUUUUUACGGGGCAUUUUUAACUAACCUCUUCCUUUCUCCUCCUGCUUCCUCUUCCUUUUUAUUCUUUUUAUCCUUUCUUUUUUCUUUAAAUAAAAUUAUUAUUUGUAUAAAAAUUUUAAUUAAUUAAACUCUUAAUUUUAUAAAAUAAAUUAAAACAUUUUUUAAAUUUUAAAAAUUUACUAAUUAAUUACUUUAUUAAUUUUAAUCAUUAAAUAUUUUAAAAUAUUUUUAAUAUAAAAAAUUAAUUAAUAAAUAUUUUUAUAAAAUUAAAAAAUUAACUAACAAAUUUUUUAUACUAUUAAAAUUAAAUAAUAAAACAUUUUUUACUCAUAUAAACAGAAUAAUUGAUUAAUAAAUUUUUUAAAAAUUUAUAAAUAUUUUAAUAUAUUUUUUAAAACUCAUAAACCUACUAAUGAAUUUAUUCAUAUCACAACAAUUAACUACUUUCUCUUUUUCAUAAUUUUUAUUUACUCUGAUUUUUCACACAUACAAAAGAAAAAGUAAUUUUUUAUUAAUUUUCUAAUUAAUUCAUAUUAAAAAUAUUAAAUUUUAUUAAAUAUCAAUAAAUUUAUGAGAAAUUUUAUUAAAAAUAAAAUGAGAUUAAAAAAAUUAUAAUAUUCAAUUUAUAUAUUAUUAUAAUAUAAAAAAAUAAAUAAUAAUUUAAAAUAAUAAAAAGAAAAAAAUUAAGAAAUAGUAAAAUUUUCCUUUUUAUAUUACAUUAUAUUUUUAAUAUUUGAAUUUUAUUAUAAUUAAUGAAUUAAUUUUAAUAUUAUUAAAAUUAAAUAUUUAAAUAUAUAUAUAUACUUAUUUCAUCCAAUAAGCCGCAUUUUUAUCCACUUGUUUACAAAGCUAUAGUUAUAUGAGAUAUAAAACAUUCAAAUACCCAGAAUUACAACUCCGAUGCUUAAAUACUAGAAUUGUAAUUCUACCAAAACUUUUUUAUUGUAGUUUUGGAAAUUUAAACAUUUUUACAUUAUCAGAGUAUUGAAUUAUAUUAAUAAAUAAUAAUUGAAUGAAAUAAAAAUAAUUAAAAUUUAUUAAAUGUGAAUCGUAAAUUAAUAUUUAGUUUUAAAAAAUUCCAAAUUAUAAGAAAUUUAAAUCAUUUUAUUUAAUAGAACAUCAACUUUGAACAUUGCCCUCACGCAGGAUCGAACUGCGGACCUUCAGUUUACAAGACUGACGCUCUACCACUGAGCUAUAAGGGCAAUUUGAAUUUUCUUUUGUUUUUUUUUAAAUAUAAGGUAUAUUUUAAAAUAUUGUUGACAACCGUAAAAAUUACUAUUAAAUCAAUGAAUUUUAAAAAUAUUUACUAAUUCUGAAUUCUAAUUAAAAAAUUUAAUAUUAUUUUAAAAUAUAACUAUUUAAUUAUCCUAUUAUAGUUCCGAUGAGGAAGCGAGAGAGAAACUGCUCCAUUGUUGUCUUCAGAAGUUACCAUCUAACAGAUAAAGAAAUGGCCGGAGUUGCUCAUCAAUGGCCAAGUUAUGUACCAAAGUGGUGCAAAUUAGACAAGAGAAUUGUGAAAAUAACCCAUAAUUCACUACCAGAAAAGGUCACGUGUAUAUUUCUAAUUUAUCCAUGCAAAGUGCAAACAACUUAGUCCAACUGGAACUGAAUCUUGAUGGCAUUGAUCAAGAGUAUAAUAAUUUGCAGUAAUUUUUUCUUCCUUAUCAUUUUAACAAUUGGUUUAUGUAUUAAUUAUAUAAAAUAGCGGACUCAUACUAUAAUUUCUCGCAACUAUUUCUUAUAAUUUUUUCUUAGACCUUAUUCAAUAUGAACUCAAAAUAUAUAAACAUGGAUUCAUGUGAUUUUAUUAUAGAGGGAUCCAAUUUUAUGUAUUUUGAAUUCAUAGAGAUAAAAUGUAAAUAAAUCUUUCCUCUAUUUGGAAAUUUUUAGAUAAACCAAAUUUAUAUAAAUUCAAAACAUAAUCUUUCAUCACUAGUCCCUAAGUUUGAAGACAGAUUUAAAAUUAUGCAUGUGCAAGAAUUGCCAUGAUUGAUGAAACGUGAAAAUUAAAUCAAGGUUUUUAGAGAAAAGAAAUUGAUAACCUUUGGGUUUUACCAUUUCCGUAUGAUGCUGAACUUCAAAAAACAGUGUUUGAUAACCGCUGCAUUUCUUCACCCUGGCCCAUCAUCUAGAGGCCCUCAAGUCUCAUCACAUGCAUCAAGUCCGGUCCACCCAGUCUGAAGAUCGGACUCCCAUCAAUCUCCUCAAUCAGGUCGGCCUAGACCUUUGGUCCCGAUAAAUAAAAUCCUCUCUAGGUUCAGCCCAUAUUAUAUCUUCCGGUCUGGUCCGGAAUCGAGAAGAAGACCUACACAUGGGGCAGCGAUCUGAUUUCCUCGUACGUCCAUAUCAACGUGACAGGAUCAGGUGACCCAAUGACACACAUUCUGUUACACGUCACUAGCGGACAAAAGAAAACAUAUAAAAGGAGAAAUGUUCUCCUCUAGGCCUAAACUUUUAUGAAACCUCCUUAAUUUAUCGAUCCAAUAUUUUCGGCUCUGAUUUAGACCUAUGGAGCGGGCUGGAUCACUCACAAACCCAGAUUCACCAACUACAAGCUCAGUCCGGUGAUGUGACGUAAGGAGAGACAGCAGACCCAGUCACCUUGCAGCCCUGACUGCAUGCGCGUCGGGAUAAUUAAAUGGCACCUGUGCAACAAAAACAGAUGACACUAUAGCAGAAAAGCUGAUAAAGGAAAAGGGAUAAAAAGAGAGCAACAUCCUCUUCUCAGAGUAAGCCUCAUUAAAGAGAAAAGAUUCUAUAGAAUAGAUUUCAAGGAGAAAAGAUGCUGUGAAAAUAAGAUAAUUUAUUUUUUAUUAUUAAAUUUUAAUUUAAAAAAUAAAAUAUAUUAAUAAAUUUAUAUGUAAAAUUAAAGUGAAAAGAAUAAUUCACUUUUAAUAAAAUUAUCAUUUUUUUAAAGAUCGCUUAAUUUUUUUAAAUAGAAAAAUAUUUUUUAUUAAUUAAAAUUUUUAAAUCUAUAUUAUAUAAAAAUAAAAAAAGGGAAUAAUGAAAUUACUGGUUUUAUCUUUAUAUUAUUUAAUUAUUAUAAUUAUAUUUAAAUUUUAAAAUAGAUAAUUAUUUUAUUAUUUAAAUAAUUUUAAAUUAAUGAAUUAUUCAUAUAUGGCCUAAAAUAAUUUUAAAUAUUUAUCAUUUAAUUUAAUGUAUGUUUAAAUUUCUUAUUUAUGAGUUUUAUUAAUUUUAUUUAAUAAUUAUAUAGAAUAAUUAUUAAAAAUUAAUCAUUUAGGUAAUAUUUAAAUUCAAUUUUUUGAGAUAAAAUUAUUAAAAUAAUAAAUUUAAAUAUUAAUUAAAAUAUUAAAAUAAUUAUCAUGAUAUCGUAUUAUUAUAUUUAAAUUGUUAAUUUUUUUAGUUUAACUAAUUUUAUUUGACAAUUAAUUAAUAUUUAAAUAUAUUUUAAUAAUUAUUAUCUUAAAUUUUUAAUCUUGAUGUAUUUUGUGCAUUUAAAAUUUUGAUAUUUUUUAAUAUAUCUACCAUUAAAUUUAUAGGUUUUGAUUCAUAUAUAUAUAUGAAUCAAAAAAUUAAAAUUUUUAAAUAGGAUUAUUAAAAUAACAAACUUAAAUAUUAUUUAAAAAUAUCAAAAAUAAUUAUCAUAAUAUUAAAAUAUUAGAUAAUAAAUUCAAAUUUAAAAAAUAAAAAUUGUAAGAUAUAUGAAAUGAUUAUCACAAAUUAAUGAUUUAAAAAAUAAAAUAAUAAAGUGAUUAUUUUAAUUUUAAAUGUUAAUAAUUUUAUUAUUAUCUAAAUAUUUAAAAAUUUUAAAAAAUACUUAAAAGAAUAGUCUUAUUACCUUUUUUUUUUUUUUCAAAUUAUAUUCUUAAUCACACACUGAUCUAUAUUGAGCAGAGAAAUUCGAUAGGACCUAAUCUCGUAUAUUUCAAAAAACUUAAUAAAUGUAUUAAAAAAUUUUAAACAAAUUUUUAUUUUCUAUAAAAAGAUAUUUGAUAGUUUAAAUUUAAAAUAUUUAAAUAAAAUAUUUAAAUUUAUUAUACUAAUAAGUAAUUACGGAUAAUUAAAUUGUAAUUUAAGUGUAUUAGAACUCACUUUUUAUUCCCUGUAAAAAGGUACAAAAUACAGUGCUAUAGUAAAAACUCAAAAAAACUCUUUGGUAGUUUCCAUGGUUGCAAAUUUAGAGUAUUGUCUGCAAAUUUAGAGAUUUUGGUUUCUUUGUGGUUUUAAUUACUUUCUCUUAUUAUCGAUUUCCUUUACUUUCUCUUAUUAUUAAUUUUUUUUAUCAUAUAAUCUAUUACGAUUUUGGAUAAAAGAUCGAAAGUUACGAGAUAUAAUAUCUACUUCCACAAUUUUUCUUUUAUUUCAGUUACCUCCUCAUAAAAACACUAUGAUGAAAGAAUAAAAAAACUCGAUAAGAGAGUUUUAUGCUCGUUAAGAAGAUAGAGCUUUAAUCUCUAUAAUUCAGGAAUUAAAAUUCUGAUUGAUAAUUUUAUCGAUUCAAUCUUUCUAUUUAAAUGAAGUUUAAAUUUUGGUAGAAAUAAAAAGACAAUAAUUAAAAGUUCUAAAGAUUCCUUUAAAAUAAACUAAACCUGGGUAUUAUCUCGUAAACCCAUUAACUCUGCACAAAUCCUGAGUGGUUUUGAUACCAAUUGAAAUAACCAGGUCAAAUUGACUCAAAUAACUUUUGAACUCACUUUCCAUCUAAUUCAAAAUAAUUAAUUUAAGGUAUUUAGUAAUUUCGUGUUAACCAUUAUAUACAAUUUUAAUUUUUUGUAAUUCGCCGAUGUGGAACUAGCAGCUGAAUAUCACAAACUUCUUUAUUGUUUUUCUUGUUUAGCUCGGCCUACAAUUAAUCCACUACAUUUUUUUCUAUUAGAUGAACUCUUUGGUAAUAUAAAUUAUUAAAUUUUUUCUUUUCAUUUCAGACUUUGAAUUUAUAAGCGUUGUCGUUUAUUAGUAGAGCUUGUUAAUGCAGCCCUUUAACAUUCCUUCCUUGACAUUUGAUGAUAUAAAUUUUAUUCUAUGAGUUAUAAAGAUGAUAAAUUUUUGAAUGAUAAUAUCUCAGAAGGUUCUUUUCAUCAUUCACAAAGAUAAUAGAGAUUAUUAUUCUCUUUUAAAUCAUAUUAACUUUGAACAUGGAUUUUCUUAUAAUUAAAAGUAAAUUAUCAAAUUUUUUAUCCAAAUAUAAGAGAUGCUAAUUUUUUUUUUAACUAUACAAUAUUUAGAGUUGUACUAAAAUACAUAUAAAGAGGCAACAUGUAUAAGGUCUAAAUUUAAAAUUUAGAUCAAGCCUACAACUCAUAAAUCAAAGGAAUCUAAAUCCAAAAUCUGAUCUCUUUUCUAUUGAAUUCACCUCGGUUUGGAAAGCUCAAUUCAGAGAGAACGCCGUAGACAAUCCAGAAAGUUGGCCCAUAGCACCAGCUGAAAAUCUAAUCCAAAAAACCACCAAGAAAUCAGGGGAAAAAACUGCACAUCCAUCACACAGGUUUCAUAGCUACCGUCAAUCAAACCAUUACCGAAAAACGAUCACCGGCUCCACCAGCGUUAGUGAUGAAAUAUACCAUGAAAUACAUACAAAUUGAUUUGACAAAACAAAGCCACCUCAAUCGACAUAUUCACCACUUCGAUUAAAUCAAAACAAAAAUCAACAAAACAUACAAAACAAUCAAAAUAAGAAGACAAAGUCGAUCGAGGUAGAGAGGAGGUAGCCACGAACUCAAAGGAGAGCAAAUUUCAGCGAGUAGAAACCAACAAAAGAAUCAAAAAGAGAAAGGAACGAAAAAUAGAAUCCUAGUGAUACAACAUCAACAAUCACCGGAAAGUAUUAGUCCAUGGUGAUUUCAGUCUCACAUAAUCAUGGAGUUGCUUUUGGAAACACAUACCAUAUUCCAACUUUUGGAAACACAUACCAUAUUCCAACUUUUGGAAACACAUACCAUAUUCCAGCACUAAAUAAUUACUGACCCUUCAUUAUCGGUAGCGGCAACACUCUGAUCAGACUCUAAUAAAACCACACAAUACAAAUCCUAAAUUAUCGCAAAACCAUAACAAAAUUCAACUCAAAAUGAAAAUAAAUCAGAACAAAGAAAUUUACAAAAGGGCAACUUUCGCCAAAAGCGAAAGAGCCAAUGAAGUUUCUGCCUGCUCGUUUUGAAAUAAAAAAUUAAUAUAUACACUGUUUUUUUUAAGCUCAACAUCUCACAUUUGCUGAAUUUGGAUAUUUAAUUUGUAAUAGUUUUAUUACUCAUAGAUUAUUCUCAAUAAAUUUUAAAAACUUCAUACUUAUCUUUAUUCAUAUAUUAAAACAUAUCAUUUUAAAUAAUAAAAAUAUUUUGAUAACGUUAUACUUACUAACCUUCCAUUUAAAAUUAAAAAUUUUGUAAAAAUUUAAUUCAAUUCAAUUCUUUUCUUAUAAAAUUUUUAUUUGAAAUAAAAGAAUUUAAAAAUUUUUUGCUUGAAAAUUUAUCAUUAUAUAUCAAAAUGAAAUUAUAAAUAAUUUUAUAAAAAUUUAUUUAAAUUAUUUUUGACAAAAUCAUUCAUGUCAAACGAGUGGUUAAUCUUCUAUUUCUAUUUUCAUUUCUUUCGCAUAAACAUAUAAAACAACUAAUUAUUAUUUUCCAUAACUUCAUACCAAACGAUGUAAAAUUAAUCAGUUAUGUGGUUAUCUUUCAUUACUUUAUUUUGCUAUAUUUUUGAAAAUUUUAUUUUAAUUUACACAAUCCUAUAAAAUAAAAAAGAAAAGUUGAAUGUAUACAAUGAAGUAAAAAUAUUAUUGACAUGGCAAAUAAAACAUAAAUCCGACCGUCCACAUCAAUUUUGAAUUUUACAUAUGUGUGCUCAUAAUAAAUCUGAAAUAAAUCAUAAGUUCGACCGUCCAUAUCAGCUUUGAAUUUUACGUAUAUGUGCUCAUGAUAAAUCUGAAACAACUCUAAUAAAAUAUUUACCCUUGCCGUAAGUUGUGUACCAAGAUGCAUCAUAUGCACAGUAUGGUAAUUAACUUUCUAGUCAAUUCUCCUUAGGAAAAUUUGAGUAGUAAAAUAACUUUUUGUGAUAAAGUUAAAGUUUUCAUUCUUAAUACAAUUCAAUAUAUUAGAAAACUGAUAUAUUAUAAUCCCUAACAGUUUGUACUAAUUUUUUUUAAUCAAAGGUAUAUAGGAUCUUAUUAAGAUCUGGGUUUAAGUUUUAACAAUAAUAACACAAGCUUAGGAAUACUGGAAAAAAAAAUAAAUAAAAAAGAUUCCAAAGGCCCAACCACAUACAUCCAGUCCAAAUCUAAAAUCUUGCCUAUCAUCCCCCAAAGGCUGAAAUUUAAACCAACAAAAGAUUCUGAAAGAGCUCUUCGACGCUUGUCAACACCGGUCAUCGGGUACAACAACAACCUUUAGGAGCCACCGGAGAUGCAGCACAAUUCCAUAUCAAAAAAUCAACCAGAGAUAAUAGACAUGUAAGUAUCAAGACAACAAUCACACUAUUAACACACCAAAAGAAACUAGGGAUUCAUCUUUAGAGCCAAGCAGUUAAAAACAUAAUGAAGAACAAAGAAACCCACCUUGAAAGCAUUGGUCAACGGAUAUCUUUCCUAUUGCCUAUUUAGUACUAGUUGAUCUCUCAAAUUAAAUUGAUAUUUUAAAAAAUUUAUUAAUUAAUUUUUUUAUUAAUUUUAACGGUUAAAUAUUAUAAAAAAAUUUAAAAUACAUUUGAUACAAAGAAAUUAAUUAAUAAACUUUUUAAAAAUUUGAGAAAUUAAUUAAUAAAUUUUUUAAAAUUAUAGGGACUAAUUAAUAAAAUAUUUAACGAUAAAUAAAUAAAAAAAAUAAUAAGUAAACUUUUUAAAAUUUUAGAGAUAUUUUAAUAUAUAUAUUUUUUUAUUAUUUGUUUUUCUUACUUAGAAUAAUACAAAGAGGAUCUAAAGACAGCUCCAAGAUCAAUACAAAGAGGGUUCAAAGACCUAAAAUACAUUAUAAGCUAUUAUGAGUGUAAACGAACCGAGCCGAGCCAAAUUUUGAAAAACUCAAGUUUGAUUCGAUAAAAUUUUUUUGAAUUUGAACCGAAUUCGAAUUUUACUUAUUUCGAACUCGAAUCGAGUAUUAAGAAGUUUAAGUUUAGCUCAUUUAGCAAACGAGCUACGAGUGGAGCUUUUGUCGAGUUUAAUUUAGAAUAGUUCACAAAUAGUUUAAUUUAUUUACACAUAUAAUAAAUUUUAGUUUAAAACUAAUAAGUUUAAAAUUAAAAUAAUUUUAUUUAAUUAAGCAUAUCUACAAAUUAGCUCGUAAACUUAUAAAUGUGAGCUUUUAAAUCUUAAUUAUCCAAAUAUAUACAAAUUUAAGAGUAUAACUCAACUGUAUAGAGCUGAAUUUUAAAAAAUUUAGAUUUGACUCAUUAAAGUAUAUAUAGGGUUUGAAUUUAUUUUUUUUAUAAUAAUAAUCUCAAUUUACUUAACGAGACUGUUCACGAGCCUAUUUGCGAGUUUGCUCAUAAACUCAGAAACGAGCAGAACUCAUGAGCCUUAACGAGGUGAAUAUUAUGGAGCUCAAAUUUGGCUCGUUACCAAACGAGCCUAAAAAUUAAGCUCGAACUUGACUCGUUCAAAAAUCGAGUCGAACUCGAUCGAUCUUUUAUCAAAUCGAACCUCGAGUAGCUCACGAACAAUUUGGUUCAUUUACACCCCUAAAAGCCAUAGUCUAAAAAUAAAAGCCACUUACACUAUAAACAAAUCAAGUCGAAUUGAGUUUUAAAGCGUUUAAAUUUAGUUCAUAAAUUUUUUUAAAAUUCAAAUUAAACUCGAACUUGACUCAUUUCUAACUCGAUCCAAAUACUAAUAAAUUUAAAAUUGAUUCAUUUAGCAAACAAAUUUUUAUCGAGUCAAGUUUUGAAUAAUUCACAAUAAGUUUCAUUUAUUUAUAAUUCUAAUAAACUUUAGUUUAAAAAAUAAUAAGUUUAAUGUAAAAUAAUUUUAAUUGAACAAAUAAAUAGAGACCAAUAUGCUAAACCAACCAAAUAUUUGUAAACUCAAAUUUGACUUGUUUAUUAAAGAAGAUCAAAAUUUAAGUUUGAGUUCUACUCGUUUAGCAAACAAAUAAUAUAAAAUCAAACUUUUAUCCAGCGGAUCUCAAAUCACAAAAUCUUCCCAGUCAAGCUUUCGGAGAAUGGGGGAAAAGAGCUUCAAGGAUGGCGAUUUCUUUGUUCUGCUAGUGAAUCUACAAGCUUUCAACCCCAAUUAACAUAGGUUGAUUAUCAACAAAAAUAAUCAUUCCGAAGUCUUAACGUCAGUGAAUAGAACUAUAAGCACUUAAAAGCCAAAAUAACAAUCGAUAACAAUAACAUUCAUUAAUGGGCUCAAUAUCAAAAAUAAAAAGAAAAGUGAAUGUUCAAGAAAAGAUGCAAAUUCCAGGCAUUUCAGAGUGGCAAGUUAUCACAAGAAAACUUGUCUGUAUACCUAUCUUCUAUAGAACUGUGACCAAAAUAACAAACUAAUACAUGAAUAUUGAACAUGAGAAUCAAAAUACAUUGCCAAGAAAACCAUCAUCCACAUCUUCCAGCAUGAUGUGAAGAACUGGAAAGGGAAAGAAUUUGAAACUCUCCUGCACAUCGGCCCCACCAUUGUGCCUUUUCUCUAUUUUUUCUUCCUUCAAGUUGUAUAACAAAGGACGAAACCACUGUAGACAGUUUCCCAACCUAAAGUUGAGCGUCUGCAUAAUUCAACGUCACUCGAUGGGCAGCACGGGGAGAACUUGACAUCCUAAAUUCUUUUCCUAGAGCCGACCAAAACUCCCCAUCAGCUAGCUCCACCGUAUUGGUAAAUCUGUCUAAAAUUGUAUCACUCUCAAAAUCUGAUCAGCUAAUUCUAUCAAAACUUUCAGAGGCAUCAAGUGAUGCUGUAGUGGAAUAAGAAGUGAACAAUUGUGAACUUCCAAAAAUGGAUGUAAAAACAUCAGUUGUUCAAAUUUCAAAUCAGAGCGACUGGAUAGUCUACUCAAUUUCAGUGCACUGCUUAUUCUCUGAACAUAUCAACUUGUUGCUGCCGGGAACCUGGACUGCUCUAUGACCAUAAUUGUCACUCAAGGAUCCAAACUCUGAUUCAUCAUCAUCACUAUCAAUAUGUUUUGGAGUCACACGAUUCUGAUAACUUCUGCGCUGAACCACAAAAACAUUGAAGUAAUAACUAACCAACUCCUCUCUUUUCUUUCUAGGGAAGUACUUUCUAUAAUCAUCCCAAAAACUCUUGUCUAGUGAUGGGGGAUUAAAUCUAACCAUAUUCUUAAAUCUCAUUUCUUCUUCAGCAGUCCAUCUAAGUGAAAUUUCCUCACCCAUGUGAUCAAAUCUCCAUUGAUAGAACAUGUGGCCUAGUUCAAGUUUCAAUUUCAUUCUGCUUUCAGCAAUGUGAAAUCUGACACAUUCAACAGACCCUGGAAGCUGACAACUACAGACAUCACGUCUUCCCUUUCCAAUAGAAUCUGUUUCAACUGGAGCAUUAUGGUCUCCAUCGAAAGGCCAUACUUGUGUGCCUAGCCAUCUAGGGUCACUCUCAGAAACCAUGCCAGUCCAUUCAGGGACGUCAGCUUGAAAACGAGGACCCACAGGAACAUGCCUCUGUAUUUCAUCCCCAGAUGGACUUUGUGUAGAUUUUGCAUCAGAUAAAUCAUCAUUUACAAGUGGUUGCCCCUUCAGGCAAUCUUCAAACUGUGUCUUGGGGGAACCAAUCAAUUGACUUUGAGCAGCACAUGAAUUGCAACAAGAGCAUGAACGAGGCUUCACUAAAGUAUGAAGCCGCUCACUGCAUCUUAACCUCUCCGCAGACUGGUCAGUGGCAGCAGUAACCUCCUCAUACAUGGAUGGAUGCAUCUUGUGAUUGCUCUGUAGCAAGUUUAAACUGUUUUAGUAAAGAGAACAUGACCAGAACUUUUAUUCGGACUUCUUUUUCCACAACUAAAACUUUUGCUAGAAUCCAUUUACUUAUGUUUGAAACAUAAAUCGUAGAGAGAAUUUUUGAAGGGCUGGGCCUGGUCAAUGAACUAGGCCAGCCUUCUUGGCCAAGUCAGUGAGCAUGGUUUCAAAUCGCGGUCGCGGCUGCAGGUAACGGAAACAGGCCUGUAACGGUCAUAACAUAACAGUAACAGCCUAUUGAAUUUUUUUGAAAAAUUUGCAAAGUUCAUGAAAUUUGCAAAUAUUUAAAGAUAUAAUCAAAAGUAAGUUAUACAACUUAAUAAUAAGUACAAAUAUAUCUAAUAAACACAAAAUCCAUAAGUUUUAAAUAUCAUACAUAAUAACUGAUGUUCCGUGAUCCAAAGAAAAUAAGGUUUACAAGAGUGAGUGUAAGCUUGGUCUUCCUCUCAGCCAGGACCCCUACGAUGAACCGACCGAUGAAUAUGCUGGCUAGAUCCGCAAAGCUCUUAAUGCUCCCUGCCUCCAAACUGUUAAACGACGCCCGAGCUGACCCUGUGAGGGUAGUGGGGAAGACUUUACACAUUACGGUAUCUGAGAGAGUUUGGAGCUCCAUGAACAUUUUGUAGUUCAGGAUGUACUCCCGGGGGUUUCCUACGCCAUCAUAGGCCUCCAUUGGCGGCAUCAUGAACUUCUUUGAGAUGGUUUUCUGUUGGAUCCAUCUUGAAAAGGGUGAGGACGUGGGUAAAAGAGCCUGGCUACUGUCUUUUGCCCCCAGCUCAGCCGGGAGCUAUUCUUUCAUUCUUUCCAACUUCCGGUUUCUUUCAUUCUUUCCAACUUCCGGUACACAUCCGUCUCCUCCUGCCUUGGCCUUUUCUCCGGGUGAUAUCCCCUCUCCCACUCUUCGCUUUCUGUCCUCCCUAUUGGACCAGCUGAAUAGCUCUCUCUGCCUCAUUGUUCUCAAUGAGCUCUCUCACCCUCCAGCCUCUGACCCUGACCGCAUGCUCAUUCUCCCUCUCAGCCUCUCCACUUCUUUCACCCGUUCUCCAGCUACUUUGUUGGGGGAUUUGGUAGUUGAAGGUGGGUUGGAGUUCAGUGGUGUUGAAGCCUUCAGCUACAGAGGGUAUGCUCAAAGGUGUGUUCUGUCCCAGUCAGUGGGCAAUGUUCUGUAGCUGAAGAGCCAUGGUUUGUAGCUCUUGAACAGAUAAGGUUGUUCUGGGUUAAUUCCCUGCCGAGCUCGACGAGGGAUUAAACAGUACCGGUGGUUGAUUUGAUGGGGUUGUGGGACUGGAAAAUGAGAACUGCUGACCUUCAUGAGCAGAGCUCAGGUUGUUUGGGAUGUUGGUGGUGUGGUUAGCCAUGUGGAUCUCAAUGGGUGUUUACGGAAAUGGAAACUCCGGUGACAGAAAGAUCUCCUUCGUUUUCCACAGAUAGCGCUAAUUGAUGUUCCGUGAUUAAGAGAAAAUAGGGUUUACAAGAGUGUGUGUAAGCUUGGUCUUCCUCUCAGCUGGCACCCUGCGAUAAAUCGGCUGAUGAAUAUGUUGGCUAGAUCCGCAAAGCUCUUAAUGCUCAUUGCCUCCAGGCUGUUAAAACGCCCGAGCUGGCCCUGUGAGGGUAGUGGGAAAGACAUUACACAUCAGGGCGUCCGAGAGAGUUUGGAGCUCCAUGAACAUUUUGUAGUUCAAUAUGUACUCCCAGAGGUUUCCUACGCCAUCAUAGGCCGCCAUAGGCGGCAUCAUGAACUUCUUUGGAAUGAUCUCCUGCUGAAUCCACCUUGAAAAGGGUGAGGACGUGGAUAAAAGAGCUUGGCUGCUGUCUUUUGCCCCCAGCUCAGCCAGGAGCUAUUCCUUCAUUCUUUCCAACUUCCGGUCCACAUCCGUCUCCUCCUGCCUUGGCCUUUUCUCCAGGCGAUAUCCCCUCUCCCACUCUUCGUUUUCUGUCCUCCUAUUGGAUCAACUGAAUAGCUCUCUGUCUCAUCGUUCUCAAUGAGCUCUCUCACCCUCCGGCCUCUGGCCCUGACCGCAGGCUCAUUCUCCCUCUCAGCCUUUCCAUUUCUUUCACCCGUUCUCCAGCUACUUUGUUGGGGGAUUUGGUAGUUGAAGGUGGGUUGGGGUUCAGUGGUGUUGAAGCCCCUUUGUUGCAGCAUCUGUCCCAGCCAAAGGCAGGAGGAGACGGAUGUGGACCGGAAGUUGGAAAAAAUGAAGGAACAGCACCCGGCUGAGCUGGGGGCAAAAGAUAGUAGCCAGGCUCUUUUACCCAUGUCCUCACCCUUUUCAAAGUGGAUCCAAGAGACCAUCUCAAAAAAGUUCAUGAUGCCGCCAAUGACAGUUUAUGAUGGCGCAGGAAACCUUCGGGAGCACAUCUUGAACUACAAAACGUUCAUGGAGCUCCAAAAUCUCACACACUCUUAUAAACCCUAUUUUCUCUUGAUCACGAAACAUCAAUAACUAACCUCAAUUACUAUUAGAAUGAGCAUUUAGUAUUUAAAUUAUGCAAAAUAAUUUAAAAUAUUCGAAAAAACUAUAGUUUAAUUUAAAGUCAGGUUCUUUUUUAUACUUACUACCUAUUUUUCAUAAAUUUUUAAACUUGUAAAUUUUAUAUUUAUAUUUUAUACUUAAUAUUUAGUUAUCAUUUAUUAUAACUUGUAAGAGCAUAAAACUCAUUUAAUAAUUAGUAUUAAUGAUAUUAGGUAAUAAUUUUGAACUUCUAAAGUUCUACAUUUCUAAUCUAGCAUUCUAAAUUCUAAUUAUUUCUAAUUAUUCAUUCAUUAAAAAAUGAUUCAAAAAUAUCUAAAAACUUGUGGAAAAAAUAAUAAAAACUUACGUUCUAAAUUUUUAAUAUAAAUUAUCUAAUAUUCUAACUUCUAAUUUUUAUUUAUGCAUUCACUAAAAAAUUAUUAAAAAUAUCUAAAAAUUAUUGAGAAAUAAUAAGAACUAACUUUUUGCUCAAUAGCACUUCAAAACCACUUAGUAUAUUGGAUGAUUUGAGCUCUUCAACACAGGAAUUUCUAGAGAAGUUGAUUAAUAGCACUUGAAGAGUCUUAAAGUUGAGAGAAAAUUUAGAGAAACUUGAGAGAAAUAAUAAAAAAAAAAAAGGUAAAUCUUGGCUUGGGAGGAAAGUGGAUGGCUUCAAAUGUGAAGAAAAAGUGUCUUCUACCUUCAAUAAUUCAUACACUACACUGCAAGUGGUCUCUUGCAGAAAUUCUAAAGAUUUCUACCCAUCAAAAGAAGGUAACAACCUUUAUAACCGUUAAGCCGCGGCCAAUAACGGUCGUGACUAUUACGUAACGGCCGUUACUAACACAAAUUUUAAUCGUUGUGAAAUAAUGACCUUAACAGUAAUGGCUCCUUGGAAAACCUUAAAAUAACGGUCAUUACAUCGUUAUUUAAAACCAUGGUAGAAGGCCAAGUAAAGCAUUGAAAUAAGGAUGCACCACCAAGGUAACAACCAUUCAUUAUCCAAAGUGAUAGCAUCUGUGCAAGUCUAACUUAUCACAUUUAUGAGCAGGGGCAGAUCCAGUAUGGAUGGAGAUACCAAAACAUAUACAAUGUUUUUUUUUUUUAUAUUCAUGCAUAAUACAUAAUUAAAUAGCGAAAAAGGAUACAUGGAGUCGACCCUAACUAGUUUCAAUUAAUGCUUAGUUGUUGUACCUAAAUAUACAAGUAUGUGAUUCCUGCAAGGCACCAAUGGCAAAAAUUCUUUAGAACUGCCACUGUUGAUAAGCUAGAAAUUGCACAUUUUAUUGAUACCUAUUUAAAAGAUUCUACACCACUGGUCAUCAAAACUCAAGUUUUCUAAUGACCUAUAAAGAGGGUAUCUAAACGCCAAAUGUUCAAGAUAGCCACAUUUAUAGCUUAUAUAGAUUGUUUAACCAGGAUUUCAAACAGUAGAUAUAAUGCAAACUUUAUAAAUACCUAUUACAAAACAGAAGGGUUCUUGAUAUUAUAGCCUCCAUUUUGGAAGCAUGCUUUCCAAACUUCAAAUGCCAAGCUAGCAUGGAACUGAGUAUCUUAUAUUUUAAACCAAUUAUCAGAUACGACAAUUGAAAAGGGUAACAACUUCUAAAAAAUAACUGCAUUUGGCUAUGUUUCUCGGGUCUAUGAACAUAUCUAUCUAUCUAUUCAUUUUACAGCAUACAAGCAUACAUGUUUAAAUGUUUUCAUUCUUUUCUCUAAUUUCACUUAUCAAUACUGGGGCAUAUGCUUCUUAUUAGUUUGAGAAAGUGGUCUAACUAGGUUUCUUGAAGGCAAAGCUUCAAAAAUAUUAAGUCAAUCAAGUUGCUAGGGAAGAUGAGAUCUUCUACAGUCGAUAUUAGUUAUCUUUAGCGCUUUACCAAGGAUAACAGCAUUUGUGCUGGAUGUUGACUUGAAUCAGUAACAGACAAUUAAAAAUAGCUAAAUUGAGCCUUAACUAUAAAUCUAGGCAAGAAAUGAGAAACUGUGAAUCAUUUAAACUAACCCAUAAAAAUGAGAUAGAGAAGUUGGCUAGCACUCCACACCAAAUGCAAGCCAAGAACCUAAGGAAAGAUAAAUCCUAAUGAAUCGCCUUUAUACAGUCAUUCAAUCACUUGGAUACCUAUAAGGGUCACACUCAAAACCACCCCUCCAAUUCAAAGCCUUUAGAACAAAAGCCCUAUACAUGACCCUUUUGAAAUUCUACUAUUACACCCCACUUACCAAGUGCCACUUGUAAUUUAUAAAAUGACAUGUUUCAUGAUGAUUAUGAGAAUAAAAUAUCACAAUAUACUAUACUUGGAUUGGAAUUCCCAAAAACAAAAAGGAGAUGCAAAGCUGUCAAGCGUGCCUCCAGCUCCAAGUGAAACAAGCUCAAAGCCUAAUUUCUAGCACCCAACCACAAGGGCUGCCAGGCAGGCAUGUGCCUUAAAUGUUGCAGGUGUGCGCCUAGGCAUUCGUUUGUUAUAUUUAUGCUUGAUGUGUUUCUUUUUUAAAUUAUGAAGAGCAAAUAUCCAGCACUCGAUCUACUUUAUAAGUAGGCUUACCUUAAGUUUAUACACACCAAAUAACAAAACAAUUGAAAAAUAAUAAAAUGACAAACUUAGUAAAUUAACAGCUACAACUAACGAAAAAACUAAUAAGUAAAUUUUUUUAAUACUUCAAAGACAUAUUUUUCAAAACCAAAGGACCAACUAAUGACUUCCCAAUAUCACAUGAACUAAAUAGUAAAUUUUUCUCAAACUAAAGACGAUUACCAUAUUACUAAUUCUGAACUCCUAUUUGUUUUCCUUUUUUAUCUCUUUUUUUUUUUGCAUGUAUUUGUUUUUGGUUAGUCAAAUAUUUAGAAAACCAACACUAAAAAAAUAUCUAAAAUCGUGUGAAGUAGAAAAACAAAGAAAAUAAAAAGUCUUCUUAGAAUGUCGAUUGUUUUCCUUUUGUGAAAUGUGAAGUUUGAUAAAUAUUUUAUAAUCAUUUGUUUAAGUUCAACAUAUCUUCAUUGCAUAUUUUCACUUUAACAAUCACAUAAAUAAUAAACAUUUUAGGUCUAUUUGACAUUGUUGUUAAAGUUGCUAUUGAAAAAAAAGCUUUUCAAAAUAUAUGGUCAGAGGGUAUUAUAAAUUAAGUUUGACACAUUUUAAUUGUAAAUUGAAACGGUUCUUUUGCUGUAAAGUGCUUUAUAGCACUAAAUCUCAAUGCCAAACGGCCUCUAUAUGAAAUACCAAAAAAGUCGCAUUUUUAUUAGUGUUGGCCCCUCAGUGAAAUUAAAUUCUAAAUCUAGCUCCACCUAUGGCUUUAGGCAAAAAAGGAAGUGUUUAACAACAAAACUAAUGCAUUGAAUAUGAAGAAUCAUAAAUAACUGAAGCAAAAAUAUACCUGUAAGAGAGAUCGUUCAGAAUUUGAAUCAACAAGCCUUUUGCGCAGGAGAGCAUCUCGUGCCCUGACAGCCUGGGCCCAUAACUCUCUGCCUUUAUAGUCCUUAAACUUAGAUGGUAUUUCCUCACUCAAAGGACCAUCAGGACAUUUUGCAAUUUGGAUCACCCAUUUCAGCAUUGUUGACAGUGAUUCUCGUUUUCUCUUCCGUGAAUCAAAUAUUUUUUUGCCAAUUCUAGGAUCGAGGAUCACAACAUCAUCAUCAUCAUAAGAUUUAUUUUCCUUGUAAUCACGAAAUUUUUCAUCAUCAUCAUCAGUAUGCUUAUUUCCAAUGCCAUUGCAGACUUCAUGUAGAUCUUUCAUAUCCAGAAGACCUUUUUUACUCUGCAAGACAUCCAUAUUAAUGUUUUUGCCAUUUUUCUUAUGUUUACCAUCCUUCCCCUUUCGAUAUUCAUGUGACAAUAAACUUCUAAACUCUGUCUCUAAUUCCGUUGAUAAACAGCUUAAAUUCCCAUCCAGGUGACACUGCCCAGUUGCCAAUUUCCCAUCUCUAAAGCUUCCCCUCGACCAUCUUUCCAACUCAUACAAGUACUUAAAAUAGAUUAAUUUAACUGAAGUUGAAGCUCUAAUAUCCAACCCUAGCUCUUUUACAACAAAGGUCCAGAAACCGUUAACCAAAUCAAAGCCGCCUCUGUUUCUCACCACCCGGAAAAGUUUAAAUAAAUCCAGAGAUUGCCCAUCAGGGAGCAAUGCAGGAAGAGGCCUAAUGCAUCCCCUAGAAGCAGCCUCAUUGGUGAAAACCGAAAGAACCUGAUCAAACAGGCAUCUUAGUUUCACUUCAUAAUCAUCAUCAGACUCAUGGACAGCAUUGCGAUCCUUUGCCUCAUGAUUAGCGUCAGUACUACAAGCAUUACCCUUACAUCCAUUGAUAAUAUCAGCACAAUCUAAAGAAGACCCAUUUGCUAACAUUGACCAUCCUGCCAUGAAACUAUUGCUUUGUUUAUAUAUUUUUUCUUCUUUUUUUUUUUUUUUUUGGGUUUAAUCUUCUUAGCUUAACUCCCUAGUAAUCAAAAAACAACAAGAAAGAAAAGAGUACAAACAAUAAAAGAGCACAGAGUUAUCUUCUUUUACUCUAUGUUCACAAGUUUAUAUGAGCAAUAAAAUCAAGAAACCAACAGAAGAAUAUCUACAAAAGAACUAAAAGUUGACAUGAAUCUGAAAUCAAGGCGUCAGGGAAUGAUAUUGCAAGGGAAAAUUAGGUUCGCAAACAAAGCCCCCAAAAUUAUCCUUUCAAGAUUUUUACCUCAUUUUUUCUGGGUCUUGAAUUCGAUUUAUUUGCAGGUUCUGUGCCUUGCAAAGCCACCAAAUUUAUUUACACGAAGUUGAAGAGAUGAUACAAAGACAACAACGAGCGCAAGAGAGAUUGGCGAAAGAGGUUUGGAUUCUUGAAGGAGAAAAUAAAAAGAUUAGUGGAUUCCAGCGCAGAGAAUUGAAAUAUAUUGGACUGGGAUCUAAAUGAACACAGAGAGACCGGAGAGAGGAUUUAUGAUUAGGGUCUCAACUUUUAAAAAUAAUUUUGACUAUAAAUUGUAAUAAAGGAAGAAUUUGUCUAAAAAAUCCAAAUGUUUGCUUCAAUUUACCAUUUCUAACUAUUUUGAUUUUGAAUUAAUUUUUCAAAAUUAUUCAAAUUAAAAAUUCUAGCUAAAACUUCUUAAUAUUGAAAAAAUUUAAUAAUUGAUUUAAGGAAUAAAAUAAUAAAUUGGUAAAACAUUUAGAUUUUUUUUAGUUCAAUUAGCAUAAUUAACCAUACCAGUUUUUUAAUUACAAAUCCAAUUUAACAUCGAUUCAAAAAAAAAUCCAAUUUAACAUCAGUAAAAAUAUUUGAAUUACUAAAAUAUUCUCCCGUAUAAAUUCAUUAUCUUCCAAUCUUAUGUCAAUCUCUCUCAUCCAUUUCCAUUAUAAUUGGACAUUCAAUCGAUUCGAUUUAAAAUCAAACUGAAUCGUAUAAAUUAAAAAUUAAAAUUUUGAUAUUUAUAAAAAUUAAAUCGAAUCGAUUUUGAUAAAAAAUCAAAUUAAAUUAAACCGAUCUUAUUCAAUUUGAUUCAAAUCGAUUUAUAUUUUUAAUAGAUUUUUUAUUUUUUUACACUUUAUUUUUAAUAUUUUAAAAUUUAAUUAGAAUAUUUUAACCUUAAUACGAUCUAAAUCUCUUUAUAUUAUUAUCACUAAUUAGUUUGAUUUAUUUUUUUUUAUUUUUUCUAAUCAAAACCGAACUGAAUCGAAAUAAUUAAAAAUUUUAAAAUUAAAAAUCAAAUCGAACCAAACUAAAUAAAAAACCAAACUGAAUUUUCAACUUAAGUCGGUUCAAAAAAUCCUUUUCUCGAUUCUUUUUCACCCUUACAAUGACUCCAAAGAGGAUUAAUUGCAAGUUGAUACCAAUUGCAAUGAGUAUUUAAAUUCAAGCAUAGAUAUCUAUAAAAUAUUAUUUAGGAUGUUUAAUUCCCACAAACUUUUAUAUUUCUUGCCUCUUAGUUAUUACUAGCCCAAAUUAUUUUUUUAAGGCAAAAAUAUUUCAUAUGAUUAGAGAAGUGAAAUUAAGAUGUCUCGCUUAAGCAAUUGGCAUCACAACUAUACAAAGUUAACUAGGAUCAUAACACAACAUUAAAGUCUUGAGUACAAUAUGGGUUAUACUAGAAGAAUUAGAAGGGAUAAGAGGAUGAAAGAAGACUAUGUGAAUAUAACGGAAGGAUUUGGAAGAAGGAUAUUAGCAACAAUAAAAAAUGAGGAAUAGUUGGAAAUGGUUAGCUUGAGUAUUACUUCCCUCCACCUACUAAUGGUAAACAGAAAACAUAGUCCAAAUCUAUGAUAUAUGAGGACUAUUUCAACAACUAUAAGAAGAAAAUAUUAUUAGUAAUUGACAGCUGUAUGCUAGGACUAGCUCUGCUAGCAUAAGAAUUGUUCUUGAGAGUUGCUUGUUAAUUAUUUUCUUCUUCGUUUAUGUUGAAAUAAACGCACAAUACUAGAUAUAUACGUGAUCGAACGUAAUUUCAACACAUUUUUCAUACAGUUCUUAAUAUUGAAUUGAGUUUUUUUUUUAACUAAUUUUUUUUUUUAGUGAUAUUUCACAGAAAAACAAAAGAGAAAUGAAUUUUAUAAAAAAAAAAAUUAAAAAGUACUGAAAUUGACUUAACCAACAAUGUGGGCAAAUCUACCAGAUGAUUGUGUUUCAAAACCCAAGAGCUGCCCAUAUUCUCGAGUUGAGCUAACCAUACUGCAGUUGAAAGAUUUGAACAGCAGUUUGUCCAAACUAUUGAGCAAAUCAACAGUCUGCAUAGAGACCUAAUAGUGAGCGUGAAAUUAAUUCAAAUUUGAAAUAAAAGACCAGGUCUCAUCAUUCAAAGCCGCGGGACCCCACUCGAUUUUCCCUCCUUAAGCACUGCACAAUAUCUCCUUAAAUCAAGGAGUCCUCUCCCGAAUGGAAACAUAUUAAAAGAAGGAUUCCUAAAUUGAAGCAAUAAGGAUUUCCUAUCUUAAGAAUGAUUCUGCUAGGGUUCAAUACCUAUUUAACCUUGUUUUUUUGGACAGAGCAGCAACUUGAUCACUAUCUCUUCCGACCAAUUUUCUUUUCUUUUCUUUUGUAUUUUCUUUCAAACCAUGAGUGGCUAAAUUCUUUAUUUCUAGUUGGAGUAAGGUUGAAAUUUCAAUUUAUCUAUAAAUUAUGAGAUCUAAAUAUAAUUGUUUAUCUUUUAUUCAUCCAAUAUUUAUGCAAUUUCAGUUCUUAAUAUUAUUAUUGCUUUGUUAUUUGAUCAAUAUGACCCACUAUUCAUAUUUUUAAAGUAAUAUAUUGUUAGUUUGGAUGAUUGAAAUCCGUAAUUGCAUAAAUUAUUUAACAAUUAGUAUAACCCACUAAGAAAUUACAUGAUUUAGCUUGAACUCAUCACGCGGUUUGGUUUAUUGGUUAGAAUUGAGUCUCUCUAAUUUUUAAGGCAGUUGAUAAAUUAAAAUUCCAUAUACGUUCUUUGAAUGAUUUGUUGACUAGGGUUAAUUAGUAAACGCUUCUUAAUUAAUCUAAAUCUAAGAAGAGAUCGGUUAUGUGGAGUAUCUUCCAUAACUAGAACUAAUUUAUUGAAAUGAAUAAAGAUAUUUUUAUUUCUAUAAUCAAUUCCCAAAACUGAAAUGGAUUUUAAUCUUCAACUAGAAUUUAUUUGCAUUGAUUUUAUUCUCUUUUGAUUACUAUUUUAUUUAAUUAUCUUGAUCUUUAUUUUGAUUUCAUCAAACCCAUCCUUUUUACUUUUAUUAUUUAUUUUUAUAGUUCAUGAUUGGAAAUUUUUAGUGUCAAUUUUCUGUGGAUUCGAUUCUAUUCACUCUAUACACAAUUCAUAUUCGUUGAUUUUUGAUAGAUUAUUUUUAUGGUUUCGACAUCUAUCAAUACGUCUCAUUAAUCACAAUAUAAGAGAGAGAAAAAAAAGAGAAUAGACACAAAAAAUCUAAGGUAAUUCAAUUAUAAGGUUUAUGUCCACAAUCAAAGUAGAAAUAAAGUUCUACUAUGAUGAAAAACUACAAUAUAAUCUUUGUGAGUUAUCAAACCCUCACCCUAAUGUGUUUUCUUAAAUCUCCCAUGCUAUCGAUCUCCCUCAGCUCUCAAUAUAUGUUCUCAUUUUUUCUCCAAUUCAAGUAGCAUCAUGGAACUUAUAGAUUGAAUCACAAUUUGACUUGUAAAGAAAAUAUAUCCAAAAUUCAAGCCACAUGAUUAAUAAUUUCUUUGUUCUUAUAUUGAGUAGUACUUCUUGAGAUUAUAAUCGUUGAAUAUGAGAACUCUUGCUAUUCAUAUAAAUUAGGGAAAAGUACAAAAAGUACCAUGUGGUUUUAUCACUUUUUCACUUCAAGGUAUGUGGUUUAUUUUGAGGUUUAUGGUUCAACUUUAUGUUAAAGUAGUACCUUGUGAUAUGAGCUCGACAUUAAUAUGAGGUCUAGAAAUUGUCGUUGUUUGCAAAUAACACGGUACCAUGAGAUACUACUUAAACACAAAAUUAAACCACAUGCUCUAAAUUAAAUUACAGACUCUGAAGUGAAAAACUGAUGAAAGCACAUGGUACUUUUUUAUACUUUUCUCUAUAAAUUAUACAAUUUCCUUUACAAUUUCUAUUUAGAUCCUAUUUUCCCUAUUCAUAACUAUGUCACAAACCUUGAAUGGUAUUAAAGUUAAUGGGAAAUAUGUUUUAGUACUAGCUAUGACACUUUUAUCAUUCAGAAUCUAAACUUUAUUUUAUUAUCAAUAAGAAUGUACUUCUACAUGUUAGCACUGUAAAAACAAAUUAGUAAUAUAGCAUGUGGACAUUGACUCCAUUUACUGAUGUGGUGCUGAUGUGGCAUGUUGGCACACUAUUUAUUGAUAACAUGGAAUGCCACAUCAUCUUAUUGCAUGAAGUGGCAUCACGCGAUAUGUCAUAUCAUCUUUCAUGUAUAAUAUGGCAUUUUAUGUGGACUUCACAUUAUCUAUUUUAAUGUUAAUUUUCAUGUGGUCCUUAAGUGCAAAAGAUUAAAAGUACACAUCUUAAAUUACCUAAAAAAUAAAGUUCAAACCCUAAAUGUUAAAUGUCAAAAUUUCAAUAAUAUAUAAAAAAAAUAGGAAAGUGAGGAAAAAAUGGAAAGGGGGAGGAGUAGAUGACUGUGCGGUUAUUGAAGCCGGUCAAAAAUAACCUUUUCAAUUAUCAACAAUCUUACAACUGCAGAUAGUGGUGAAAGGAUUGAAUCCACAGGGAAUUGAUACUUACCUAUCUUUCUUAUCAAGACCAAGAAAACAAACUGAAAGUAAAUAAACUGAAAGUAAAUAAACUGAAAGUAAAUAAACUGAAAAUAAAAUAAAAAAUGGGGGGUUUUGAGAUUAAUGAAUUAAACUACUACUGAAAGCAAUAAAAUAAAAAAAAUAUUAAAGUAAAGGAAUUCAAAUAUGAGAAAGACUCUAGUUGAAGAAUUGGAUCUACUUCAGUUGUUGGGAUUGAUCAUUGAUACUUAGAUUCCUUUGUUUGAUUCAAUAAAUUAGUUAUGGAGAUGGAAGACACUUCUCACCACCAUAUCUCUAACCAAUCACUAAUCAACAAGUUGCCAAGGAACGUCCUUGGGCCUUAGGCAUCUAACAACUGUCAAUUGCAUUAAGAAAUAGAGAGACCUAAUUUUAGCUACCAAAAUGCAUGGUGAUAUCGCUAGAUCAUGCAAUUUUCUUAGUUUUUACACCAAGAGUUACUUAUGUUUGAACAAUCCAAGCAAUUACAGACUUAAAAGUAUCCAAACUAACAAAUUAUUACCUUGCAAUCAAGAAUCAAUUGGCCAUAUUGAUCAAAAUAACAAAGCAACAAUGGAAUUAAGCAUGAGAUUGCAUGAAUAUUGAAAAAUAAAAGUUAAACAAUGUGUGUGCAGAUCUCCCAAUCCAUAAAACAACUAAAGUAUCAACCAAUCUUCAACUAGAAAUAAAAGGUUUCAACCACUCAUGGCUAAAACAAAAUCCAAAAAAAAAAAAAAGAGAGAUGAAGAAGAGAUGUGGCUACUUGCAAUCCCGUAUGUGUGUCCAAUUGGGUAUAGAAAAAGCAUGGGAGGCUCCUUAUGUAUCUUUUUAUAGUUGAAAGUGUUGCCCUAGGUCUCCUUGCUGCCCAAGUUGGUCUUCCUUGCUGCCCAAGUUGGUCUUCCUUGCUGUCCAAGUUGCUGCCCUUGACGCCCAAGUGUACAUUAAUGAGGUGGAGCCUCCUUUUGAAUUUUGAAUUUUGAAUGUGCAAGACUUGGGGGACAAGUAUGUCUUCUUUGGCUUCCUUAACAAACUGAAUUUUGAAUGUACAUCUUCUUGAGAUUUGGCUUCCUCAAUAAGGAAAGGGAUUCUUGAAGAUUUGAAAUUUGAAUUUCAAAUUGCUCUGCUGACUGCACUUUCCUUAUUUGCUACUUUCCUUAUUUAGCACUUUUCUUAAUAAGUUGAAACUUGAAUUUUGAAUUUUGAACGCUCUUGGAGAUUUGAAAUUUGAAUUUCAAAUUACUUUCCUUGUUUAUCUCCUCUUCAGUUGCAACUUGGCAUGCUUGCUCUCCUUUGUUCCAUUUUAGGCAGUUUUAAGGGCAUUGUCUCCAAAUUAUCUCUUUACACAAUUUUCUCCAAAAUAAGAUCAAAACAACAAAAUUAGGUAGAAAAGUGUAAAUUAAUAUCAAUAACAAUAUGAUAAAAUGGUCUAAAUUUGGACUGAUCAGUAGAGAGGAAGCCAAAUGGGAAGAGAAGGAAGCAUGGGAGAGAAAAAUUUUACUGUUCUCUCUCUUUAUUUCCUCUCGUUUUCUUGAGAUUAAAAUACAAAGUGAAAAGGGGAGAGACAAAAAAUAAAAAGAAAAGACAAGGAGAGACAUGUAACAACCCUAAACUCUAAAGAUCAUUAGUUGAGAUGAAGAAAUAUUUUAGGACUUGGAAAAUAAAUCAUAAGUGAAAUAAAAAAUGUAAAUUAAUUAUAGAUGCUUAAAAAUUUUAUGUUAACCCAAGAAUUUAUUUAAUUAAAAAAGGAUAAAUUAAUAAGUAUAAGCAAGGAAAAUUAAUAGCCUAGCUAAAGGACUUGGAAAUUUAUUACACAAUCAUAUAUUAUUAAUAAAUUGAAGAAAAAAAAAAGAAAUAAAAAGAAAGCAAAUUAAUAUAUAUAGUUAAAUUAGCGAGUGAAAGAUAUCACUAUCAUCAACUUCUUCAUUUCUUCUUCAUCUCCACCUUCCUCUCUUUUCUUUGUUUCUUCCUUCUCAACCUUUGGCCAGCUUCAGGCCUUUCACCACUAGAAAUUCUCACACUUUCUCUACCCAAAUUUGAGUUAAAAAUCAAGAGGGAAAAGAGCAAUUAAAUGUGUGAUUACAAGAAAGGAAGGAAGGAAUAUGAAGGUGUGACUUGGUAAAUUGGAGGGAUAGCAUUCAGCUAGCCUUUGGGAGAGAAAGUUCAUGCCUCCUUCAAUCAUUUUCUUCCCUUCUAUGGAUGCUUUAGUGAUGGGAGGAUAUAGGAGGUGUUGGGUUAGUUAAUGACUAGGAAAUUGUCACAAAAAUAAGUUAGAAAUCCUAUUAUUGUAGAUGGAAAUAUGGACAACUUUGAAUAAUAGAAAUUUGUGUAGAAGAUAACUAAGAAAUUUUCUUUAACCUUGCAUGAUAUUUGACUUGAUUGGAGACUAAUUACACUGGAAUUUGAUGAAUUAUUGCUAGACUUGUAGAGGGAGAAACUUUGAAAAGCUCCAAGGCAAAGGGAAAGGAGAAAGAAUUGAAUUAGGAAGGCUACUAGGUUAUUGUGGGCUGUGCUCACUCAUCCCUAAUCUUAUACAUAUCAAUUGAUAGUAUUAAUUGAAUUAAAAUAUGUAUCAUGUUGUUUUUGAAUGUUCAUGGAUGAUAAUGUAUAGUAGAAUAAAAAUGGACAGUGAAAUGAUUAAAGCUGAAUUGUAUUGUUGGAAAUGAUGAAAUUGUGUUGGCAAUUUGUAUUAUAAAUGCUAUAACUAAUUAUAAAAAUUACCAAUAAUUAUGUAAUUUGGACCAAAAUGAUCUAGCUAGGAUUUUCAUGAAGACCAAUAUGUAAAAUUUUGGUAGAAAGGACUUGAAAAUAGGGGCAAAUUUGGCUUAGGGAGAGCAAGUCCCUGCUAAACUCAUGAAUGAUUUGGUUCAUUUACACCCCUAUCUAGAGCUGUCUCACGUUCUUGUUCCUUACAUAUUAGGGUUCACUUAUUAGCUGAAUGAGGAGUCUACACCUGCUUCUAUUAUGGAGUUGCUUCGUAAUCAUAUCUUUAGAGCUUCUCCCGAUAUUGAUGACCCUCGCUUUUUAGGCAUUUUUAUCAUCUUGUCAAAUCUAGCGCUCAAGCAGGGACCAAUGACUCAAAGCCCAUCGAAGAGCUCUUUAUUGACUCUAAAAGACAAGUUCUUUUGGUAGGAUGUCAUUUUUUAUUUGAUUUCUUUCCCUUUGUCUUGCGGUACUAACCGAUCUCUAUGUCACAAGUCCUUAAUGCUCGUUGAGUUGGGAGAAAAAAAUGAAGGAUGUCCGAGAAUUGGCUUAUGAUGCAAUCGAGAAAGCCAGUGAAGAAGAAGUUGUUCACAUCACUGCUUCCUUGAAGGAGGUUCAUGAGGCCGAGUUGAAGCAGUUAAAUGACCUGCUGAUCAAGCAUAAUUUAGCCACAUUUUUAUCAUAAUUAUUAUUGCUUAUUUACACAUUUUUUAGUUUAAUUUAUGGUUUUUAUCUUGUUUUUACAGAAAAGGAAGAAAUUGCAAAAUUGGAGAAAAAGUGCAGAAAAUUUACAAAAGGGUGAUUUGCCCAGUGAUUUGCCCAAAAAUCUGCUCCAGUCACUGCCCAGAUCAAAGCUAAAGCAGAAACCCGGAGACAACAGACAGCAGUGAUAUGGGCAGUGAUUUGCCCAAGAAACUCGAAGAUCACUGGCCAAAUCACUCGUAGAAGACAUAGAGUACUGACUCACAGAAAAGCGAUCUGCCCAGUGAUUUGCCCAAUCACUUGAGGAAACUGGUCAAAGCACCGGGCAAAUCACUCUGACAGCAGAAAAUUACAGCAGAGCGGGAAAAUGGGCAGCAAACAGAAAUCCGAAUUUUCAGAAGUCCAAAUCCAAUCCAAUCACUUCCAACACAAAUCCAAGAGCCACGAAAGAGCUUCUCAUCCAAGGAAAUCCAAUUGCAAUUAAAUUCAACAUCAAAAGAGGAGUCCAACACCAAAUCAAAAAGGGAUUUCAAAACCCUAGAGAAUUCUUCAGCUAUAAAAGGGGAGUCUCAAAACCAGCAAAGGCAUCUUCUGAUCAGGAACUCAGCACCUUCUCCCUCGCCAGAAACUCUUCAGCUUUUCUUUCUUUUUCUUUCUUUUCAUCUUUUGUGUAUUUUAGUCACCAUGAGUGGCUAAACUCAUUAUUUUCUAGUUGAAGUUGAGAAUAUUCAGAUUUGUGAUGAAUUGGGAGGUUUAAUACUCCAUUGUUGAACUCUUGUUUGUUUCAAUAUUUAUGCAAUCUGAUCUUUUCUAUAAAUAUUACUUUGCUUUUAGAAUCAAUAAGGGCCCAUUGCUUUUAAUUUGCUUAAGUAAUAUUGUUUGAAUGAUUUAGGUCCGUAAUUGCUUAGGUUGUUCAAAUACACAUUUAAUCAGGUUGCAUAAUCUAAACUUGACCACGCGGUUGGCAAGGAUAGAGUUGGGUUUCUCUAAGUCUUAAUGCAAUCAACAGUUGUUCGAUGCUAUAAUGCCCCAAGGACGUUCCUUGGCAACUUGUUGAUUAGUGUUUGAUUAGCGAACGUUUCCUAAUCAAACUAGAACUAAGGAGGAAUUUGGAUUGUGAGAAGCGUCUUCCACAACCAAAACUAAUUUAUUGAAAUCAAAUAGGAGUCUUUAAUAAUCAAUGAUCAAUUCUGAACAAACUGAAUUAGACUCACACUUCAGCUAGAAUCUCUUUCUCAUUGGAAUUCCUUUUCAAUUAAAUUAUUGUUCUCUUUUGCUUUUAGAUUUUAACUUAUCAAAACAAACCCCCAUCUUUUACUUAUUUGUUAUUACUUGCCUUAGUCAUUAUUAGGAAGAUACUUGGUGUCAAUUCCCUGUGGUUCGACCCUAUUACCACUAUCUACAAAUUUAUUUGUUGAUUGAUAAUAGGUUAUUUUUGACGGUUUCGACAACCGCCUAUCACCUGCUCAAGUAGAGCCGUCUCUAAAAUGACCAGGCUGCUUAGUUAGAGAGCCAAUUAGCCAAAGAACAAUAUGAAGCAGCUGCUCGGUUAUCACAAGUUAAAGCCGAUGUGGAGUUGUGGAUUCAAGACUUUCUUUAGUGGACUACCUAUCUCGAGAGUAAACUUGAGAAAAAGUCUAAAAAGUUAAAACAUGCUCAGCGAGAUUUGGAGAAGUCUCGAGAGGAUGCUCAGAGAAAUGAAGCUAUAUAGAAUCAAUAUAAGCUUGAGGUUGUGGAACUCUCUGCUCAUUGUAAGGAGUAAGAGAAAGCUAUUCUGGAUGUGCAUCGCAAUGCUGAGGCCAUGGCUAGGAUCUAAUAUCAAAAUUAGUUAGAAUUUGAUCACCAUAAGUCUAAGAUUCUUAGUUCUGCCAUGCGUUUCUAUGCUGGUGGUUAUAAUAUCGAGCUGAAUGCUGGUCGUGAUGAGCCUAGCAAAUCUUUUAGUGCCCUUUGCAUAUUAAAAUGCAACUUGGAUGAUGAGGAUGUGCAAUAUGGUCCUGACGACCUGCCCAUCAAAAAGCCUCUAAAGACUCUUGCUUCUUUUUCAAAAGAUUCUCUUAAAGCUCCUUCGUCAUCUUUGAAAGAUCCUUCUAAGAAAAUUAGUGAUCCAGCUAGUCAAAUGACCAUUGGUCCUUCUGCUGUAGAGGCCACAAAUGCCUAAACUUCUCCUCCACGUGAUGUUGUUACUGCAGACUCGACUGUGGAAGCUGCCCGAAACUCCUCCUGCCAUCACCGGAGUUGAGCCUGACUUAGUUGGUGAUCUUUCCUUUUCUGAUGAAACCCAGAAAUAAAUUUACUUGUAGAUUUACCAGGUUGUUUUGACCUUGAUUUUGUAAUUACUUACUUUUAUGAAUGAAAAUUGUAUUUUCCUCUAGUGUUGUCUCUUUUGCUUUUGAUGAUUGAUUAUCUCUUAUUUAGAUUGUAGAAUUUUCUACUUGAUUUCGUACUAGGUAUACUUAGCCCUGUCAUUUGGAUGAGCUCUUAAUGCCUUGCAAGGGUGCGUAGGCCAUUUAUGAAUUUGUUUAUUGAUAAACCAAUUAUAGAUGUUGAAGACGCUUCAGGCACCCAAUCCUUCCUUAGUCUUUAAACUAGAUAAGAGAUGUUGGUUAACUAGUUCUAGCUCUUAGACAACUGUACGAGAUACUCUUAGAAUUUAAUUCAAUUACCACAUUAGAAAUCAGAAAAUCUUAAUUCUAACUAAUAAAUACGAGACGCUUAGUUCAUUUAAGCUAUGUUAUAUUGUUCCUUAGGAAAGUCUUAUGCAACCUAAUUCACCACUUGUCUCAGAUUAAAUUAAAUAAUUACUGAUUUAAUCAAUUUGAAUAACAAUAUAUAUUAUUCUAACAAUUGCACAAUGGGUUCCUAUUGCAACAAUCAAUAGAAUAAUAAUAAACACUAGUCAUAUAAAUACCAAAAGAUAGUAAGGAAACAAUAAAAUUGAUUAAACCUCACAACCAAUUGAACUAAAACUUCAAUCAUCCUUCAAUUGAAAAGAGAAUUUAGUUGCACAUGUUUAUGGCUAAAAUGCAACAAGUAGAAGUAAUCAAAAGUAGAAGAUAGAAGAUGUUCAUAAAAUACUAUCCUUUAAAUACUAAUUAUAGAUUCCUAAUUACUAGAAAUCCAAAACAAAUAGGAAGAGUGCAUGUUGAUCUCUCUAAAAUUCUUCUAAUUAUGAUGUAUUUGCUCCCCAGAAAGAGAUGAAUUCUCAUUGGUCAGGUGGGAGAUUCUCUUUCAAUCACGUAUUUUAGAAGUUCUUUCCAAAUAGGUCUCUAUCACUUUUCCAUGGGAUUAGUUAUGCCCAUAACCUACACUAAAUGCAUAUGUUGAUCAAAGAGUUCAAAUUUUGAGAUAGACUCUAUUCUCAUAUGUUAGGUUGUGCCCACGACUCUUUCAACAAAAAGGGAGUUUUGCAUGUUGCAAUUCUCAGAGUGGUGUGAUAUGUCCAUAGAACACAAUCUUUAAUCCAAUUUUUUUUGCCUUAUCCAAGCAUUUCUUAAGUCCCUAAGGAUUUCUUUCUCCUGUUUGUGAUUUCCACCAUCCUAUUUGAUUGAGGAUAAUAUAAAGAUGUGAAUCUCAAAUCAAUCUUCCAGUUUGCGCAAAAUGUUUUGAACUUUUUACUUGUGAACUACCUGCCAUUAUCUAUGAUUAGUACUAUAGGUGUUGGCGCACAAAUUCUACAUAAUUGGUUAGGAUCUUGUCUUCACAUAACACUACUGUAGGAUCCAAAUAUUCUAGUACUAGGUGAAGAGCAGAGGAAAGAAUCGCUACCCUGAUGAAAGCAGGGACAAACAAAAGGACAUGAUCGAGCGGCUUAAUCCUAGCAGAGGUCCAUUAUUCUUCUUAAUCCAUAAUCCAAUGGUCUAGAUUCGGCAUAAUAGGUAUAAGAGAGAGAAUAUAUUAGACACCCUUCUUGCCUAGAAUUUACUUGAGAACUAGUAUCAGUCUUCUAUAUUAAUUCUUACAUCUUGUCUUAGUGUAUUUAUUAGGAAAUCCUUUUCAAACAUAUGCAAUCUAUUUAUUAUACGUACAUUAAUCACAUAAAGCAUCCAUUAAUCUAAGCAUGUCAAGUUUUUACAUAGCUUAAGGCAGAGGAGUUACCAAGUUGUGCUAAUUAAUCAUGUUUUUAUGCUCAUUUUAUGCCAUUGGCCAAUUUACGUGAAAGUGGAGGAAUCUAAUUAUGCAUGGUUUCUAAGUUCAUGUUCAACACAUAUAGCAAAAGAGGUCUCACUGGGUUUCUAAACAUGCAUCUUAAUUCUAAUUUUAUGGUUAACUUGCCCAAAGGUCAUUACUACUAAGUUAUUUUCAUGCCAAAGGGUAAAUCACCUCUAAGCAUGCAUAACCAUGUCUCUAUCAUGCUAAAUUUACUUUUAGAAAUUACUAAGUGAGUUACCUAAUUAAUUACAUGCAUAUUAGGUUAAGUACAUAAAUUAAAGCAUACUAAAGAAAAGGAUGGAGAAAGCAAUUAAACAAAAUCAAUAAAUUCCUAAGCUAAAAGGAGGGAUGAGAAAAGAAUUAAUCUUAAUGGCCAUAAGAAAAGAGAGAGGGAAAAAUUAAUUUAUAAACUUACAAAUAAAUAAAGAAAAGUAACUAAAAUUAACUAAUUAAAUCUAAGCUACUAUAAGAACUGAGACCAUCACCCUUUGUAAAAGGGCCUUUAAAAUGCUUAAUUGUGCCUUUAUAUGUAUUUAGGGUUUCAUCAUGGGCUUUUUAUAUCUACCAAAGAAAGGAAUUAUACAUCAAUGGAGGAAUGAACUCCGGCCAAGGAAGGAAGAAAGGGGAAGGAAGGUCUUUUUUUUUUUUUUUUCUUGGAGCCUACUUAACAUAAUUGAAGAAAGUAAAAUAAAAAUAAAAAACCCAAAAAGGCAAGAAAAUAAUUCUGAAAGGGAAGAAAUUAAUUCAAAUAAGGAAUGAAAAUAAUUUAAAUAAGAAAGAAAAAUCAUUUAAACAAGGAAAUAAAUUUUAAUAUGGAAAGAAAUAAAUGAAAACAUAGAAUGCAAAUAAAUUAAUUAUGGUAAGAUAAAUUAAAUAUGGCAUGAGGCAAAUUACUAAAGUAAAAAAUAAAUAAAAUAAAGAAAAUUAUUGCUAUUAACCCAUUAAUUCAAAUUUGGAAGAAAAGGAAAUUAAAUUCAAAAUACAAAUAAGAAGCAAAAUAAUUUCCCAAUCAUACAAGACAUAUUUAACUAACUUUAAUCACUAAAGGAAAACCUCAGCUUCCAUCUACACCUAAUUUAAUACUUAAAUACAUUUUAAUAACAUAAAAUUAAAGAUAAAAAUGCUUAGCCUGGUGGAAAGUGCAUCCUGAUAGACCUGAGAGGUCUAAGGUUCGACUCCUCCAACCCCCUAUUUCAAAAAAAAUAAAAAAAUUCAUAAAAAAAAAUUCAAAAACACAAAAGAAAAAGAAAAAAACCAUAAAAAUUUUAUUUUUUGAGUUAUUUUUAUUACAAUAGGUAUAUCAGAAUGCAGGUUAGAAUUUGUGCACUUAUUUUAUAUUUUUAUUGGUAAUAUGACACUAUUUUAGAGACAAAAAUAUAAAAAAAAACUCAAAGCAUAAAAUUUACAGUAUAUUUUACUUUACACUUAAGAAUCACCUAAUUUUAGUGAUUAAAAGACUAAUUAUAGGUCCUUAAACUUUUAAGUACUGCACUUAACUUUCCCAACACUGUUAUUCUCUAAAUCAAUUUUUAGGCCUCCUUUAUAUUCUUCAAUGGUUGUAUGUACAUGAUUGUUUUACUUAUUUUUAAAUUGCUUUUUAUCCCUUUUCUAAAACUAAUUAUAGGUGCUUUUGAUUGUUAUGGUUGUUGCUAGUGAUUAAUGGAAAUGCUUACCAAGCUGUGAUAUUUGAGAAUAUCGAGAUGCUUAUUGAUUAUUAAUUACGAUAUUUAUAAAUCGAACCGAACUAAUUGAUAUUGUUCAGUUUAGUUUGGCUCAGUUCGAUUAGUCUUUAAUAGUCAAUUUGGUUUGAUCUUUAUUUUUAAUUGAUUCGAUUUUUUAAAUUUGAUUCAGUUCAGAACCUAACUACCUGAAUGGUCUUCCCUAAUGAAAGAUAAUAAAGUUACAUGCACUUACUUUGAUCCAUUGAUUAUUUCAAUGUAAAUUAAAUAUGCAAUGAAGAGAAUUUCAGUCGAUACUGGGAGUUCAAUUAACUUGAUAACCCUAGAUGUAUAUGAGAAGUUGGAUUUGUAGAAGGAAGAUCUCACUAAAGUCCCCUAUCUUUUUUAUGGGAUUAGGAGAAAAGUUUUUUCUUGUAAUAGACAACACAAAUCACUUCAUUCUAAUCAAGGGUGGAAAGUACAAAAGAAAUUUAUGUUGAAUUUGCAAUUAUUAACAUUCUUCUUUCAUAUAAUAUAAUAUUAGGACGUCUCAUUCUUAAUAAUUAUAAGAUAGCCAUUAAUAUAGAGUUUUUGUACCUAAUGCCACCUGCUGUUAGAGGGAUUGCAAGUGUAAAGAGUAAUAAAAAAUUCACUCAAGACAAUUAACUAAUGUUGUCGCUCAAAUGUCUCUCCUAAUUGAUCUCCUAGAGAAAUCGAAAGAAAUUCUUUCUCCAAAACUGCUUGAUGAUGUUAAAGUAAUCAAAUUGAGAGAAGGCAAAAAUAUCAUGUUCAGUUUAGCAAUAGAGGAGACAAUAAAGAAGUUGUAAAAGUUGAAAAAACAAAUGUUAACUUUACUUGGAAGCCGAAGUAUGUGAAAGGGCUUGAUCUAACAACAAUGAUGAACGAGCUAAAUAUUGAUCUCGAUGUCAGACUAGUAAAUAAAAGAAGCAAAAAUGUGCUCCAAGAAAUAAAAAAUGAUUGUAGAGAAGACUUAAAAGCUAAAAGAUGUUGGGUUUAUAAAAGAAGUUCAAUAUCUCACAUGAAUUCAAAUAUUUAAAUAGAACAUCGAAUUCAAGACUUAAAUAAAGCAUGCCUAAAAGUAUUAUUCUUUCCAUUAACUGAUCAUUUGGUAGAAGCAAGAGCAUGCAAUAUAUUAUUAAGUGGAUGAUUACCACCAAAUAAUUAUGGAAUAAAAAGAUUUGAAAAAAUGGUUUUUAUAACUUGUGCUCUUCUACAUGUUAUGGCAUUCAAUUUAAAACACGUUAAAGCAACAUACUAGAGAUUUGUUCAUGGCAUGUUUGACACUACUCUAGCUCUCUGUCAAAUAAGAGAAUACUAGUUGGUUUGGUGUGCGCAAAAGCCUUUUAUAUUUAAGUCAAUAAUAAAUUUAACCUACAAUAAUGUAAAUAUGAGAGACUAUCUGUUCACAGGCAUUGGAUAUACAUAUAUUAGGAUAAGAAAUGUAAUCUAAGUAGAAUGAACUUCUAUUGAAGACUAUAGUUUCAUUAGAUCCAGGAUUCUAUUAUGACCGAAACAUUCGAAACUUUAUCUAAAACAGAGUAGUGGAAACUCAUGGGAUAUGGUUGAGACCAUCUCCAACCCUAUGCACCAUUUUUUGCACUAUUUUGGUGCACCAAAAUAGUGCAAUAUUAUCUCCAACCUUCUCCACUAUUUUUAACAAAAAAAAAUAUUCUAUUUAUAUUCUUCUCUCUUUAAUAUUAUAUUAUUUAUUUUACUUUAAUUUUAUUUAUAUAUUUCACUCAAAAAAUUCAUAUAAUUUUAUAUAUUCACUCUAAAUAUUUAUAUAUUUUAUAUUUUCAUCCAAUAUUCAAAUGUAUAUGGUCAAUAUCUCAAUGAUAUUGUUGGAUCUGGAUUUGACCUUUCAGAAUAUUAAAUAUUUAAUAUACCAUGAAUAAUUGUAUUUUGAAUUAAUAUAUAUUAUUCAAUUAUAAUAUAUAUUUCACUUUAGUUAUUCUAUAUAAUAUAUUAUAAAUAAAUAAAUUUAUUUAUAUUAUUCUAUAUAAUAUAUUAUAAAUAAAUUAAUUUAUUAUAAAUAUUAUUUAUAAUUGUGAAUAUAUUAAUUUAAAUUAAAUUUCAAUAAUUAUAAAAAUAUAAAAUAAAUUAAAAAUAUAAUAAAUUAUGAUAGUGAAAAAAAAUAAAUUUNNNNNNNNNNNNNNNNNNNNNNNNNNNNNNNNNNNNNNNNNNNNNNNNNNNNNNNNNNNNNNNNNNNNNNNNNNNNNNNNNNNNNNNNNNNNNNNNNNNNNNNNNNNNNNNNNNNNNNNNNNNNNNNNNNNNNNNNNNNNNNNNNNNNNNNNNNNNNNNNNNNNNNNNNNNNNNNNNNNNNNNNNNNNNNNNNNNNNNNNNNNNNNNNNNNNNNNNNNNNNNNNNNNNNNNNNNNNNNNNNNNNNNNNNNNNNNNNNNNNNNNNNNNNNNNNNNNNNNNNNNNNNNNNNNNNNNNNNNNNNNNNNNNNNNNNNNNNNNNNNNNNNNNNNNNNNNNNNNNNNNNNNNNNNNNNNNNNNNNNNNNNNNNNAUAUAUAUAUAUAAUAUUUAAAAAAAAUUAAAAAGAAUAUACACAUGUACAUGUUCUUAAAUCCUCUCUUUCUUCCUACGAUCAUUUGUUAGGGUGAAAUAAUUUUAAAUCAAAUUUUAUAUGUGAACAACAAUAACUCCAAAUCUAAUAAACUAACGCUUCUUAUUUAUUAUUGGGUCAAAAUAUAAUUGGGCAACCCUUUUAGACACAUUUUAAAGUUUAACUAUAGGGCAAGAAGGGUUGUAUCUUUUUAUUUUUGUUUCUAAUUUUAAAAUUUUCAUUAUUCUAAAUGUAAAAGGCUAGAUUUAGAAAAAUUUUAGUUUGUUUUUUUUUUUUACCAUUUUCAGAAAAAAAGAGUAAUUUUAUGUAAAUAAAAUUCUAAAAUUUCUAAUAGGUCUAAAAUAAUAGUAUACAUAAGAAACAUGAAUUUAUUAAAAUUUAAGGUACACUUAAAAUAUUGAUUUUGCAAGAAAAAAAUUAAAUAAUUUCUUAUAAAAUAUGUAUACUAAUCAAGGUUGACUUAGUAAUACCAUAAGGUUAAAAAUUAGAACCCAAUCUAAACAUAAUUAUCUAGAAAGUUAAAAAUAAAUAAAAACUGGGUCGCCAUAGGCCUUAGCCAACCAAAUGUGAUGAGCCUACUUAGCUUCCAUCUCCAACAAGACAGGGACAUGACUUUAAGCAAAGAUGAAAAGACUUUAAGCAAAUUGCAUAACAGUGUUUUUGUGGCGCACCCAAUACAAAUCCAAAAGAUGAGUAAUACCAGCAAGUCAACAAAAACCAAGCCUUCAUGUAAAAGAAAAAAAAAAUCAGAUGAGUAUUAUUUACAUGAAUCGUCUUGAAAACAAAAGACUAUUCCAGCUUUUCUUACACUGAUCAAAUCCUCCACCAUAAGUAAGCUCACAAGCAGACAAAAUGAAGACAUGAACAACUGCCCAUAUGCCAUUUACAUAACCGACUUAAAUGUGGAAAAAAAAAAUGCAUCUGUAGACAGUAUUUCAGUUUGCAAAUUGCAGAAAAUCUAUACUAGGAGACCCACCAACUGACUUCUUCCUUCAGGCAAUAACAAUAUCUUUGGCAAAGUAAUAUGACUAGCAGCCAGCAUUGUGCAAAUUUAGGGGCAUUACAUCGUUGCAGUAAUUUGACAUAAGCUUCAGAAGUAAUGGACAUCACGAAUUGUAUAGGGCAAGCAUCCACCUAUGUUCUUUUUCUUUUUCUUUUUGUUUCUUCCUGUUCCUCUUCUUUUUUUUUCAUUUCUUUUAUAAUUUUAUAUGUUUGCAGGACUAAAGCACAAGGACAAUACGCAAAUGCACUGAAAAGAGCACCAACUCUUCAAAAAGUAAAAAUAAGUUGCAGCCAAAUCUGUGGCAACCACUGAACAACGGAUUCAAAAGAACAAAAAACUUUUGGGUGUAAAUCUUGCUUCCCAAAUUUAAUUCAAACAGCAAAGGAAUUGACCAUGAUUGAAAUUUCGGCAAAACUACUAAUGGAUAGGAGGUUCAAUUAUCAUUUCCUGCACCAUGAGAUAUCAGAACUAAAUCAUUACCAAACAAGCUAAUGAAAGAUCUUAUCCAAUCACCUGAUCAAUGAAUUAAUUUUAUGAGGCAAACCUUAUCGCAAACAGGACAGGUAUCACUUCUUUCCAUCCAUUCAAGAAUGCAUGCAAGGUGAAAGUGGUGCUCACAUUUUGUGGUAAUUUUUGGAUUCUCUGCAUCGUACUCUGCAGAGAAGAUAAAAGAACUCAAAUUUUAUACCAUUAUUGGUGUGGAAAAAGAAAGAAAAAAAUAUAGCAGGUAAAAUAACUUUAUUAGAAGUAAUAUGCAUUACCACGAGCAGCCGAAAGAAUAUAGUAAUAUAAUUACCUUCCAGACAGGUGGGACAAACAUCCUCCUCCUCUGUUCCUGAAAUAAGAGGUUCAAUUGACUUUGGGAGAUCAAGUUCUAGCUCCUUUGCUGAAUCAAGCUCUAAAUCAAUUUGUGCUUUACAGUCCAGCUCCUUAUCUUCACACUUGGCUGAAAUUUCUCGAGUAUUUAUGCCAGUAGUUGCUUGAACAGAAUCAGAAUUUGUUGUUUGCACUGCUCCAUCAUCUUUAUCAUUGGAAGUUGCUUGAGCCCCUCGUGGAGUUUCAGCAUGUCCUAGGACCAUAUCAAAUGGGAUAGGUGGAGGAGGUGGCCUGUAAGCAUCAGGGACUGAAGUGUCAAGGUUUGUAUCAACCAAGAGUCCAGUGGAGAGGACAGACACGGCACCAUGACGAGAUGAUACCGGAAGAUGCUCUUCUGAUGCUCUGGGGUACUGCAGAAAGAGUGAGAGUUUAAAAAGCAAAGAAUACAACAAAUAGCAAAUUCCAUUCCUCUACCUACUGAAUCUGAGAGGUAGAAGCUAAGCAACUGAAUCCAUCAUAUCCAGAAUAUCAAACAAUAAAUUAAUGCUGAAUCUAUACUUACACCCCCAUACUAAUUGAGAUUAAUCUAUUGAAUACCUGAACUAAAAUUGUAAUCUAUUCAAUUCUUGAACUCAUAAAAAUCAUAACAAUUAAAUAUAAAUUAGUCAUAUUAUUAAUAAUUUAUUGGAAAGAACUAAAAAUUGACUACAGAUAUUACUAACUGUACUCUAAAUUUUGUAAACUGUGCUAUGAAUUUUUAUAAAAUAAAAAAAUUAGAUGGGUAUGAUUUUAUCAUUUUUUGAAAAUUCAAUGUCCAAUCAGCAAAAUUUUAAAUACAGCAAUAAAUCAAACUAUUUAUGACUUCUUUUUAUAAAUCAUCGAUAAUAUGAUCAAUUUAUAUUUAAUUGUUAUAAUUUUUAUAAAUUCAGGUGUCAAUAGGUUACAUUUUUAGUUCAAAUGUCUAAUGGGUUAAUAUGAAAUAGAACAGAGGUGUAAGUGUAUAUUUAGCCAUAAAUUAACCACAAAAGUUCAUGACGCAAAAAGGGUGCAACUGAAUAUUAUGGAUUUUUUUUUUUUUGGAGUGGUUGCGAAUCUUCUAGAUAGAACUGAAUUAACCAAAGUCUUUUAGUCUAAUAAGAUAAAACAGACGCCUGUGUAUACUCAUCACACCAGAAACACAUAAUAAUUAGUACACCAAAUGCUUCAGAGUUGCUAUCUAGCCAACAAAUAAAUAAGUAAAUAAGUAAAUAACACACACCCACACACAAUAACACCAUAAUAAUCCAAGCAAAGAAGGAUAAAGAAACAACAAAAAAGCAUUUAACCACAAAAAUUUCUGCUAGAAAGAAGAGAAUUAAAAGAACCUAAAGAAGAGGGCAAAGAUUGUACUGACAUAAUAAUAAGCUGGUGCAGUAUUUAGUUCAGCUCCGUUGGAGGAACAACAACAGCAGCAACCUCCCAUUAUCCUUGUAUUUUAUUUCCAAUAUCCAUCUAAAAUUAUACUCACUUGACGCAUCAUUCGCUGCUACCAGCUAUCCCCCAUUAGAGCAAAGCGUAUAACUGUAUUAGAGCAAUAAAAAGUUUCAAACCCAUUAAAGGGCGCACUCAAGCAAGAUCAAAAACCAUGGAUUUAAAUCCCAAUUAAAACCUAAAAUAUCCCAGCUGUAAAAUUCACAUAAAGGAAUAAGCAAUCAACCGAAACUAAAAACCAAUAAAGCCCAUAUCAGGAAACACAAAUUUUUUACCGAAAAUCAAAUCUAUCUGAGCUCACAAAUGAAUAAUCAAACAGCAUGAAGUGAUCAGUGGAUACGCAUAGUGAUGGGAAAAAAAUAUGGAAACAGCGAGAAUUAGAACCUGAUGUGAUUGAGAAUUUGAUAGGAACUCAAACUCAAAAUGGAAUCGAAGAGAUGAGAAUUCGAUUUGGUCUUCCUUCCUUUAUGGGUACUUUUGUGUAUAGAGGCCUGAAAAGAGGCUUGGCUUUGCGAGAGAGAGAGUGUUGGUUUGUGUGCGGGAACGACUUUCACUGAAAAAGUAGGACUCUUUUUUAUUAAUUACAUAUUGUUUAAGCAAUAAUAAAUGAUUAAAUUUUUGUUUUAAAAAAAAUAAUUAAAUUUAUAAUAUAGAUAUUGAAAUUUUGUAAAAAUAUUUAGUUUUUAACUUUUUAGAAUAAAAUUUAAUGUAAACUAUAAAAAAAGUUAGAAUUAGAAAAAAAAAGUUAAUCAUUUAAUUUUUUAUAAUAAUGUAAUUUUUAUAAUUUAGUAUUUUAUAUACUUAAUUUUUAUAAUUUUAAUAUUUACAAUAAGUUAAUUAUUUAAAAUUAAAUUGAUUUUUUAAUUUAUGGUUUAUUGAGACUUAUUUUAAAAAAUUAAUUUAUUAUUAAGAUGAAUACUUUUAAAAAACAUAUUUAAUUUUUAAUAUUACAUUGUAUUAUAAAAUAAAUAUUUUAUUAAAUUUUCUAUAAGAUAUAAUAAUUUAAUUAUUCAAAUUUGUUUUUUAUGAUAGCAUUGUCAUUGUGGUUUUAAUAUUUUAAAAACAUUUAAUUUUAAUUUUUUGCAUUUAUAAUAAUUCAAGUGAAUUUCCUCAAUUUAUUAUUAAUUAAUUAUGAAUUUAAAAGAAGAGUAAUUAAAAAUUAAAAAUUAAAUUAUUUUAUUAUAAAAAAAUAGAAAUUGAAUUAUGAAUUUUAUUAAAUGAGGAUAAAAUAUAAAUUACCAUGAUUUUUAACUCAAAUUUAUUUGCUAUUCAAAAUCACAUAUCUGAAUUCAUAUUAAGCAAGCUAUCUCGAGAGAGAAUGGAAAAGAGAGUCCUCGUAGAAAGCGACGGUCUUCGGUGUUGAGUCGACGGGGAGGACUUUGGUUUCUCCCCGUCUGCCAGUAUAUAGUUUUGUCUUUAUUUCUCCGAUCGGGGUGUUUUAGAGUUUUGUUUGUGGUUUGAUGGUUGACUUGGUUUUCUGGUACUGAGGUUCUUCACUCAGGGAGGGUUUUGAUCCUCGAUGCUGGCAAUUCAGGGACUGUGCCGUUACGUCCGGUGAUCUACGCUCCGAUAAGCUGAUGUGGCUGUGAGCUCUGCCGUGUUCCCUUCUGUUGAGUGAUGGCUUUCUCUUUUGGGUCUCAAGCUUCUACUUCUGGUGGUUAGAUUGUUUGAAGGAGAUCAGUGGCAGUUUUGGCUGGUUCCUGAUAGUGUUGUUCUUGAUCUUGUUUGAUUUGAUGGUUUGCCGCCUGGGGGGUUUUUUGCAUGUUUCCAAUUUCUUGCCGAUUGCGUGUCCUUGUUCUGAUUUGUGUGCUCUAUUCAUGUAUGUUUUUCAUUUUUCCUGCUUUGUGUUUGAUUUAUUCUUACUCUGUUUUGCUUUGUUUAUUUGAUUUUUUUUCGUUUGUGACGUUCUUGGGUUUUCUUUACUGUUCUUCUUUGAUUGUUUUUCUGGUAAUGGUGGUGGGAAUGGCGGUGACGGUGAUGAAAACGAUACCAGAGACCACUGCAAGGUAUGCGGUCGGUGCCAUUUUUGAGUGAUUCAACGAUAAUGGGUACUGGGUUGGGUGGUUUGGGUUUGGGUUUUUUCUGUGGGCUUGAAAUUUUCGAUGCUGUACUUUUAGCUCGAUGAGCCUUUUAAUGCAAUAGUGUUUGCAUGAUAUAAAAAAAAUAAAAAAACUCAAAUGAAGAUACAAAUCACCAAAGCGGGUCGCUUUCAUUGGAAUUGGAAAAUUGAAUAUUGCCUCCGCUCCACUAAAUUUGAAACUUAAAAAAAACUUAUUCCAUUCAAUGUGAAAUUUUUUAAAAUUUUAAGAACAAUUAAUUUUUUAUUAUUAUACCUUUAUUAAUAUUAGAUGUCACUAAAUAUUUAUAAAGAGUAUUAGUAUUAAUACGAUGUUCAAAAUAAAAUGGUAUGGUCAGAAUUGGUUAAAUCUGCAAUGAUUAAAUCCGCUAAAUCUACAAUAGGUAAAGUGGUGGUGAGUAUGUGGUGGUCGGUGCUUACGGUAACUAUUUUGACACAGUUGUCACUCAAGUCAGCGAAUUGAAGAACAGAAGGAAUGUAAUGAAUUCUUUAGAAUUUAAGUAGUGUUUUAAAAUAGCGUAUUUAAGUAGUUUUUUAGAAUAGUGUAUUUUUAUUUUUGUUAUAGUUUUUUUUUAUAUUGUAAAAAUGUGGAUAUAAAUAUAGUAUUUUAUGAUAAUUCGGCAAUAAGGUGGAUAUAAAUAUAGUAUUUUAUGAUAAUUCGGCAAUGAUAUGGAUAUGGUGGGUUCGUUGGUAAAGGAUCUUUACCGGCUAAUUAGUCUGGAAUUUCAUAAUCAAAAGCAUAAAAGAGAUUUGCUAGAUUAUAAUUGUUAAUGGUAACUUUCUUAUGGAGUCUCGCCUUAAAGUUAUAAGGGCGAGUCUUGUCCGACUUGAGACCAAUUUGUCUUAAAGCGCUUGAAUUUUAUUUUCUCUUUAGAUUCAAGCACUAUGGUCGUUUGGAUUUUUCUUUCUACGAGUGGAACUGUGUAUUGGUUUAUCAGAUUUUUGUCACGUGUCUUAGUCUCAUAGUGAUAAUUCAUUGCCUAUUUUGAGCAAAUCUCAUAUAGCAUUAGAGGUCCCUGCUGGUCUUCGAUUCUUUAGAUUCGAAGGUGACAGUUGUCUUCAUGAUUUGAGUCAUGUAGCUUGUUUGUUUAGAUUGGGCGCAUGAUGUCUUUGCUUUCUUCUUGUUUACGCUGCCGACUAGUUAGGUUUAAGAUCUUGUCUUGGAAAAAAUUGAUCUGAGUGAUAUAAUAAUGCCUUGACAAAUUUUUGGGCAUUAAAUAAUUUUGCGAGUUUCCAAGCAUUUUUCAACUCUAGCGUGCUUUCGGGUUUUAUGUAGCCCUGACGAGUUUUUGGGUUUUUUU
rnacentral:lncRNA from 1 species